rnacentral:rRNA from 2 species
AUUGAACGCUGGCGGCAUGCUUUACACAUGCAAGUCGGACGGCAGCACAGAGAAGCUUGCUUCUUGGGUGGCGAGUGGCGAACGGGUGAGUAACAUAUCGGAACGUACCGAGUAAUGGGGGAUAACUAAUCGAAAGAUUAGCUAAUACCGCAUAUUCUCUGAGGAGGAAAGCAGGGGACCUUCGGGCCUUGCGUUAUUCGAGCGGCCGAUAUCUGAUUAGCUAGUUGGUGGGGUAAAGGCCUACCAAGGCGACGAUCAGUAGCGGGUCUGAGAGGAUGAUCCGCCACACUGGGACUGAGACACGGCCCAGACUCCUACGGGAGGCAGCAGUGGGGAAUUUUGGACAAUGGGCGCAAGCCUGAUCCAGCCAUGCCGCGUGUCUGAAGAAGGCCUUCGGGUUGUAAAGGACUUUUGUCAGGGAAGAAAAGGCUGUUGCUAAUAUCGACAGCUGAUGACGGUACCUGAAGAAUAAGCACCGGCUAACUACGUGCCAGCAGCCGCGGUAAUACGUAGGGUGCGAGCGUUAAUCGGAAUUACUGGGCGUAAAGCGAGCGCAGACGGUUACUUAAGCAGGAUGUGAAAUCCCCGGGCUCAACCUGGGAACUGCGUUCUGAACUGGGUGACUAGAGUGUGUCAGAGGGAGGUAGAAUUCCACGUGUAGCAGUGAAAUGCGUAGAGAUGUGGAGGAAUACCGAUGGCGAAGGCAGCCUCCUGGGAUAACACUGACGUUCAUGCUCGAAAGCGUGGGUAGCAAACAGG